GACGAACGCUGGCGGCGUGCUUAACACAUGCAAGUCGAACGGAAAGGCCCUGCUUUUGUGGGGUGCUCGAGUGGCGAACGGGUGAGUAACACGUGAGUAACCUGCCCUUGACUUUGGGAUAACUUCAGGAAACUGGGGCUAAUACCGGAUAGGAGCUCCUGCUGCAUGGUGGGGGUUGGAAAGUUUCGGCGGUUGGGGAUGGACUCGCGGCUUAUCAGCUUGUUGGUGGGGUAGUGGCUUACCAAGGCUUUGACGGGUAGCCGGCCUGAGAGGGUGAACGGCCACAUUGGGACUGAGAGACGGCCCAGACUCCUACGGGAGGCAGCAGUGGGGAAUAUUGCACAAUGGGCGGAAGCCUGAUGCAGCAACGCCGGGUGCGGGAUGACGGCCUUCGGGUUGUAAACCGCUUUCGCCUGUGACGAAGCGUGAGUGACGGUAAUGGGUAAAGAAGCACCGGCUAACUACGUG
rnacentral:rRNA from 1 species